ACGGGUGAGUAAUGCCUAGGAAUCUGCCUGGUAGUGGGGGAUAACGCUCGGAAACGGACGCUAAUACCGCAUACGUCCUACGGGAGAAAGCAGGGGACCUUCGGGCCUUGCGCUAUCAGAUGAGCCUAGGUCGGAUUAGCUAGUUGGUGAGGUAAUGGCUCACCAAGGCGACGAUCCGUAACUGGUCUGAGAGGAUGAUCAGUCACACUGGAACUGAGACACGGUCCAGACUCCUACGGGAGGCAGCAGUGGGGAAUAUUGGACAAUGGGCGAAAGCCUGAUCCAGCCAUGCCGCGUGUGUGAAGAAGGUCUUCGGAUUGUAAAGCACUUUAAGUUGGGAGGAAGGGCAGUUACCUAAUACGUAUCUGUUUUGACGUUACCGACAGAAUAAGCACCGGCUAACUCUGUGCCAGCAGCCGCGGUAAUACAGAGGGUGCAAGCGUUAAUCGGAAUUACUGGGCGUAAAGCGCGCGUAGGUGGUUUGUUAAGUUGGAUGUGAAAUCCCCGGGCUCAGCCUGGGAACUGCAUUCAAAACUGACAGGCUAGAGUAUGGUAGAGGGUGGUGGAAUUUCCUGUGUAGC
rnacentral:rRNA from 1 species